UCUUAGGUAGUAUAGUGGUUAGUAUUCGCGCCUGUCAGGCUGAGGCUUUAUUUCGAAGUUUAAGUCCGCGCGAGACCGGGGUUCAAUUCCCCGCCUGAGAG
rfam:Sphaerobolus stellatus SS14 unplaced genomic scaffold SPHSTscaffold_79, whole genome shotgun sequence.